rnacentral:rRNA from 1 species
UACGUAGGUGACCAGCGUUGUCCGGAUUUACUGGGCGUAAAGAGCGCGCAGGCGGUCGAUCAAGUCGAGUGUGAAAGCCCCCGGCUCAACUGGGGAGGGUCAUUCGAUACUGAUCGACUCGAAGGCAGGAGAGGGUAGUGGAAAUUCCCGGUUGUAGUGGUGAAAUGCGUAGAUAUCGGGAGGAACACCAGUGGCGAAGGCGACUACCUGCCUGUUCUUGACGCUGAGGCGCGAAAAGCGUGGGGAGCGAACGAGG